AGAAGACUACGGUUGUUUCGAAGC
rnacentral:siRNA from 1 species